GACGAACGCUGGCGGCGUGCUUAACACAUGCAAGUCGCACGGGACCCGCAAGGGUUCAGUGGCAAACGGGUGCGUAACACGUGAGGAACCUGUCCAACGGUGGGGGAUAGCCGGCCCAACGGCCGGGUAAUACCGCGUACGACCUUCGGGGGGCAUCCCCCGGGGGUGAAAGCAGCAAUGCGCCGGUGGAGGGCCUCGCGGCCCAUCAGCUAGUUGGUGAGGUCAUGGCUCACCAAGGCAACGACGGGUAGCUGGUACGAGAGGAUGACCAGCCACAUUGGGACUGAGACCCGGCCCAGACUCCGACGGGAGGCAGCAGUGGGGAAUCUUGCGCAAUGGGCGAAAGCCUGACGCAGCGACGCCGCGUGUGGGAUGAAGGUCUUCGGAUUGUAAACCACUGUCGGGAGGGACGAAGCUCUGACGGUACCUCCAAAGGAAGCACCGGCUAACUCUGUGCCAGCAGCCGCCGUAACAC
rnacentral:rRNA from 1 species